AGAGUACAUUAUUUGUGUUACUAUGAGGAUUAAAUACAGUAAUAGAUGGGAAACAGAACAAUACCCAGCACAUAAUAAGGACUUAAUACAUUUAACUAUUGUAACCUUCACAAGCUCAGGUUUACAUCCAAUUGAGAAUGUGAAUAUGAGGCGCACAUUGGGCAGAAUUAUGUGGUAGGAUUUGUGGCUUCCACCUGAAAUGCAAUCAGAAUAAGCUGACUCAUCUACCAUCAGAUUUUCCAAAAGAAGUCUGUGUUGCUCAAUCUAAAAAGAAUAUCUGAAAAUAAAUUGACCUUCAGUCAUGAAUCCCUGCUCUCCCCACCAUCUCCUACUCAAUUACUGUUCAUGGGAUACUGUUGAGCAGAGCACAUCUACCUGCCUGAUGCCCACUGAGCAGGAGGUAUGGAAGCAUACAGUACACAUGUUGGUCAGCUGCAGGUGGAUGAUGUCAGCUCAGGGUGGCAAGGAGGCAAUGAAGUUUUGGGCCAUGAUUGAAUUAAUUUGAUUGAGUUCAUUGAUUAUUUGGUCAAUUUCGGUCUAUAAAAUACUCUUUCCCCCCU
rnacentral:lncRNA from 10 species